rnacentral:rRNA from 1 species
UACGGAGGGUGCAAGCGUUGUCCGGAUUUAUUGGGUUUAAAGGGUGCGUAGGCGGCCCUGUAAGUCAGUGGUGAAACCCUUGGGCUUAACCCAAGGAGUGCCAUUGAUACUGCAGGGCUUGGGUCAUCUUUGGGCAGGCGGAAUUCCGGGUGUAGCGGUGAAAUGCGUAGAUAUCGGGAGGAACACCUGUGGUGUAGACGGCUAUCUGGACGGCGACUGACGCUGAGACACGAAAGCGUGGGUAGCAAACAGG